rnacentral:tRNA from 1 species
GGUGGUAUAGCUCAGUGGUAGAGUGAAUGCUUAGCAUGCAUGAGGUCCUAGUUUCAAUCCCCAGUACCUCUG